GACGAACGCUGGCGGCGUGCCUAAUACAUGCAAGUUGAGCGCUGAAGGUUGGUACUUGUUCCCACUGGAUGAGCAGCGAACGGGUGAGUAACGCGUGGGUAAUCUGCCUUUGAGCGGGGGACAACAUUUGGAAACGAAUGCUAAUACCGCAUAAAAACUUUAAACACAAGUUUUAAGUUUGAAAGAUGCAAUUGCAUCACUCAAAGAUGAUCCCGCGUUGUAUUAGCUAGUUGGUGAGGUAAAGGCUCACCAAGGCGAUGAUACAUAGCCGACCUGGGAGGGUGGUCGCCCACCAUGGGAAUGGGGACCGGCCCCAGACUCUUCGGGGAGCCAGCGUAGGGAAACUUCGGCAAUGGGCGAAAGUCUGGACGAGCACCGCCGCGUGAGUGGAGAAGGUUUUCGGAUCGUAAAACUCUGUUGGUAGGGAAGAACGUUCGUGAGAGUGGAAAGCUCAUCGAGUGACGGUAACUACCCAGAAAGGAACGGCUAACUACGUG
rnacentral:rRNA from 1 species